UACGUAGGGUGCGAGCGUUAAUCGGAAUUACUGGGCGUAAAGCGUGCGCAGGCGGUCUGUUAAGACAGAUGUGAAAUCCCCGGGCUUAACCUGGGAACUGCAUUUGUGACUGGCAGGCUAGAGUAUGGCAGAGGGGGGGUAGAAUUCCACGUGUAGCAGUGAAAUGCGUAGAGAUGGUGGGAAGAUACCGAUGGCGAAGGCAGCCCCCUGGGCCAAUACUGACGCUCAUGCA
rnacentral:rRNA from 1 species